rnacentral:rRNA from 1 species
UUGAACGCUGGCGGCAGGCCUAACACAUGCAAGUCGAGCGGAUGAAGGGAGCUUGCUCCUGGAUUCAGCGGCGGACGGGUGAGUAAUGCCUAGGAAUCUGCCUGGUAGUGGGGGAUAACGUCCGGAAACGGGCGCUAAUACCGCAUACGUCCUGAGGGAGAAAGUGGGGGAUCUUCGGACCUCACGCUAUCAGAUGAGCCUAGGUCGGAUUAGCUAGUUGGUGGGGUAAAGGCCUACCAAGGCGACGAUCCGUAACUGGUCUGAGAGGAUGAUCAGUCACACUGGAACUGAGACACGGUCCAGACUCCUACGGGAGGCAGCAGUGGGGAAUAUUGGACAAUGGGCGAAAGCCUGAUCCAGCCAUGCCGCGUGUGUGAAGAAGGUCUUCGGAUUGUAAAGCACUUUAAGUUGGGAGGAAGGGCAGUAAGUUAGUACCUUGCUGUUUUGACGUUACCAACAGAAUAAGCACCGGCUAACUUCGUG